GGGCCGUUUGUUGAAAAAAAAAAAACGCAACCUUCCCGUUACUGGGGAAUAGCCCAGGGCCAUCUUGGAUUAAUACCCCAUAUUAUAUUGAUUGGGCAUCUGAUUAAUAUCAAAGCUUCGGCGGUAACGGAUGGGCAUGCGUCUGAUUAGUUAGUUGGCGGUGUAAUGGACCACCAAGACGAUGAUCAGUAGGGGAACUGAGAGGUUGAUCCCCCACACUGGCACUGAGAUACGGGCCAGACUCCUACGGGAGGCAGCAGUAGGGAAUAUUGGUCAAUGGAUGGAAGUCUGAACCAGCCAUGCCGCGUGCAGGAAGAAGGCCUUCUGGGUUGUAAACUGCUUUUGCCAGGGGCUAAAAAGCUCAUGCGUGAGAAAUUGAAAGUACCUGGUGAAUAAGCCACGGCUAACUACGUGCCAGCAGCCGCGGUAAUA
rnacentral:rRNA from 1 species